GAAAAUGACAAAAUUCCAUUUCCUAAUCUGAGGGUCACAGGUUCGAAUCCUGUCGGGGUCACCA
rnacentral:tRNA from 1 species